UACGUAGGCAGCGAGCGUUGUUCGGAGUUACUGGGCGUAAAGGGUGUGUAGGCGGUUGUUUAAGUUUGGUGUGAAAUCUCCCGGCUCAACUGGGAGGGUGCGCCGAAUACUGAAUGACUUGGAGUGCGGGAGAGGAGAGUGGAAUUCCUGGUGUAGCGGUGAAAUGCGCAGAUAUCAGGAGGAACACCGGUGGCGAAGGCGGCAUCCUGGACCAAUUCUGACGCUGAGGAGCGAAAGCCAGGGGAGCAAACGGG
rnacentral:rRNA from 1 species